CCCAGCCAAAAAGUUGUUCCUGCUCCAUACUUCGAACUGUUCAGGCAGCCCAGCCUGAGACAAGGAGAGAGGCUGAGCUCCCCUCAGUUAUCAGCCUCUGAAGACAAAGCCGUGUUUCCCUGCUGGACCCUGGGCUGACAGCAAGUGCAGAUGACACCUGAGCUUGACCGCGUCCAUGCCAGCCAGUUUCUGUCCAGCAGUGAAAGAGGUAUGCACACCUGGUGACACUGGUGGCUCCCACUGAGGGAGAACAGCUUUCCUUGACUGAGCCUGAGCCUUUGCAACAGCCCUAACCACAGCCUCUUUACAGAAAGGUGAAGAACCAAAACUUUCAUUUGCCCCGGUUAGUUUCUUUGACUCACUUUAAGAUAGGGUUGCUUAUAACCAUCUCAUUAUCACUUCCUGCUUUGUGGUUGUCAGGUCCCUUCACUAAUAACAGAGAGCAGCAAAGAUCAAAGUUUUCCAGAAGAAGCCUUGUUUUUCUCUUGGCUUAAUGUGAAGAUCACCAUCCUCAGCCCACCUGGGUACGCUCACAUUUUGCAGGCAGUACCAAAGGGAGCCCAAACCUUGCACUGAUGGGCUGCAGUCUGCAUCAGGCAGAGUCUGCUGUUUGAGAAGAACAGCCCUUAAGCUCCAUUUGCAGGAGGAUUGUAUAUCAGCAGAUGUUGUCAGAGGGUGUGAUUAUUUUUCCUCUAUGUCAAUGCUAUUAGUCAUUCCUUCAAGCGAACACAGCUAUAUUAGUAUGAAGGUCUUCAUGCUGGUAUUGUUUGUUCCUUGCUGUAAUUAAGGUAGGAGAGUUUAUGUUCCUUAAUUAGGAGGAGAAUGUCUCCAACUCUCCAGACAACUAUAAGAAAUCUUGUGCAUUGCUGCCCCAGCUUCUUGUAACCAGCCCAUGAGAUUUUCAACAUUUUUCAGUGCUGACUAGGGAAAAGGGAUGAUAAGGAAAAAAUGUUCUUCAUGAUUUUCAUGAGCUGGCUGUGAGUGCAAAAACAUGUCACAAACAAAUAGAAAUCAGCACACUAAAUUGUAACUGAGGUCUGGCCCAGAGUAGAUGCUGCUUGGUAAAACCAGGAGAGCAGCUUGGACUGUGGGGCAGAGGAAGAAGGAAGAUGCUAUAGGCAAACAGCAGCCCUUCAGCUGGGAGGUGGCUGGAGAAAGACCAAAACCAGAGCAGUGGGGCGAAAUGCUGUAGGAAGGAUACAUAGGUUAGCUGACCUACAUAGAGUAUUUUUCUUUGAUAGCACCUUUUCAAAAUGGAUGACCCAAAAUCCACCUCUCAGCGUUAGGAGCAGAAGGGAAUAUUGCAUUUACCCUCUGCUGUGCUAACAGCUUUUCACACCCAGGUAAUUGUCGACAGCAUCUCUUUUGAUGAGUACUUGCUGUUCCGUCAGCAGAGGUAAAGGUGGGAGCACAGCUAACUUUGGACAGCUUUGGUUUGUGAGCCAGAAGAGCUAACAAAGGAUGUGAUUUUCACCUUUUUGUGUUUGACGUUUUUGAGACUCAUUUUUCGUCUACACUAUUAACUUGUUACCUUGAAACAUAAGAUGUCACUGUGAUGGAAAACACGUGCAGGAAAGUGUUCACAAAGGUAGUGUUGGGACCAGUAAUGUUAUACUGUUAGUGUGAUACAAAUACUUUUUCCAAUACUGUAAAAUCCAGAAGAAAAUUUCAUUCUAAGUGGAUAUUAUUAUAGCUUAUAUUCCCACAUCGUGCAACAAACCUAAUUCUUGCAGCAAAUGCUAUGCAUGAAGAAAAUCAAAAGUGUCAGGCUCUCUGACUAAUGGCUGACCAAAUUAAGCUCAACAACUCAGAGAGGAUCAAAGGAGCAGUGGCAGACAGAAGCACCUUGUAACCUUAUUCAAGACAGAGGGAGCGUGGAAGUACUGAAACUACAGAGGAAGAUAACCACACUCCUGUCACUGGUGGGACACUCUGAUGUGACUCCCUGUUUGGAGCCUGUAUGUGUAACCCGCUCAUGAACCAAAAGUGAGGCUGCUGUGACCCUUGGCUUUUUUAUCCAUUC